AGGAUGAACGCUGGCGGUCUGCUUAACACAUGCAAGUCGAACGGGCGUAGCAAUACGUUAGUGGUGGACGGGUGAGUAACGCGUGAGAAUCUACCUUCAGGACGGAGACAACAGUUGGAAACGACUGCUAACCCCCGAUGUACUGAAAAGGCAAAUAUUUAUAGCCUGAAGAAGAGCUCGCGUCCGAUUAGCUAGUUGGAGAGGUAAAAGCUCACCAAGGCGACGAUCGGUAGCUGGUCUGAGAGGACGAUCAGCCACACUGGGACUGAGACACGGCCCAGACUCCUACGGGAGGCAGCAGUGGGAAUUUUCCGCAAUGGGCGAAAGCCUGACGGAGCAAGACCGCGUGGGGAAGAAGGCUCUUGGGUUGUAAACCCCUUUUCUCUGGAAGAAGUUGUGAAAGCAGCCUGACGGUACCAGAGGAAUCAGCAUCGGCUAACUCCGUGCCAGCAGCCGC
rnacentral:rRNA from 1 species